AAUCCACCGAUGCCAUGUGUCUGAAUUCUCUCUUAUGGAUCACCUCAUAUGACCAUCUACCGUCUGUUCAUUCACUCGUUCAUCCACUCUGUGGUGGUUAAUCUUCAUUGUCAAUUCAGCUGGACUUAGAACCGCCUACCUCUAGACAUGUCUAUGAGGAUGUUUCCAGAACAGGUUGACUGAAGAGGGAGGAGCCAGCCCUAGUGAGUGGUACUGUUUAAUUGGCUCAGGUCCCAGAUUGAAUAAAGGAGAAGGCGGUCUGAGAGACAGGAAUUCUCUCCUCUUUGCUUCCUAACUGCAGAAGCGAUGUGGGAGGGGCUGCCUCAUGCUCCUCCCACCACGGUACCACGGAGAGAAGGACCGUACCCUCAAACUGUGAGCUGUGGUAAACACUUACUUACUUAAGGAGCUUCUGCCAGUAAUUUUGACACAGCAACAGGAACCGUGCACACUCCUUCAGUGAAUACUGCACUUCCACCAUGUACAUGGUCCUGGCGAUGCAGUAAGGACUGUGGCCCUGCAUCUUAACAGAUUCCUAAGCAAACUGAGAUGCUGGGGGUCUCUGGGAAGCUGGGAUGCUGGGGGGGGGGGGUCUCUGAGAGUCUCAGGGAAGCCGACCAGCCUUGGGUUGCCCAAGCUUCGCUUCCACCCCGCUGCAUCAGCGUUUCCUGUUUCACAGUUGGUACCUUUCUAGUGCCUGACACACAGGAAACCCUUAGGACCGGCAACUGUGUAUCAGAGCUCCUCACCAGCACCUUUGUUUCCAGAGACCCAAAAGCAAACAGCGUAUUUUUAGGUUAAAUGUUACCAUAAACAAUGGAAUCUACAAAAACAAAACAAGACAAAACAAAAAAACCAACAGCACCAUUUAAGGUUGGAUUUCAAAGUCUUCAAGAAAGGAAUAAACCAGGACAGUCAUCGUUACUCUUUCGAGUC
rnacentral:lncRNA from 1 species